UACGAAGGGGGCUAGCGUUGUCCGGAAUCACUGGGCGUAAAGGGUGCGUAGGCGGGUCUUUUAAGUCAGGGGCUCAACCCUUGGAAGCCGGCCGAUACUGUCGGACUAGAGUCCGGAAGAGGCGAGUGGAAUUCCCGGUGUAGCGGUGAAAUGCGCAGAUAUCGGGAGGAACACCAAUGGCGAAAGCAGCUCUCUGGGACGGUACUGACGCUGAGACGCGAACGCGUGGGGAGCGAACGAGG
rnacentral:rRNA from 1 species